AUGGGACUUUUUGGGAGAAGGAUGUUCUGGAUAACAGUUCUUGAAAGAAAGCUUCAGAAUGGAGAAGCCCACUUUCUGUUUAUUGGUCAGCCGGCUUGAAAUUCUUCCGAAAAAAGACACCAACUGGCGUAAUGCAAUUCCGUUGGAAAAACGUAUUGCAAUUGCCUUAUACACAUUGGGAUCUUCUUCUGAAUACCGAGUAGUUGGUAGGCUGUUCGGAGUUUCAUCCAACAUGGUGUGCAAAAUUCUUCAUGAAUUUUGCGGAGCUCUAAUUAAUCAGUUUGCGGACGAGUAUUUGUCCCCCAACUAACAUCAGAAAAAAUUGAUGAGUGUGUCCAGGGCUUUGAAGAAAUUGGUUUUCCUCAGUGCCUAGGUGCCAUUGAUGGAUGUCAUAUUAAAAUAAAGCCACCAGCAGAUGAGGCAGUCGACCACCAUAAUUAUAAGGGAUGGUACUCAACGGUGUUAUUUGCCCUUGUGGAUUAUAGAUAUAGAUUAACUUAUGUGAACAUCGGCUCUGUGGGAAGAUGCAACGACUCUACUACUAAGUCGAGCCUUGCACAACGGGUCGAAGCUUGCGCAUUGCUCGAUGAAAAAUCGAAGGAAAUUUGCGGAGUGCAGGUUCCAGUAAUGUUGAUCGGGGUUCUCUAAAAAACUAAUGAAGCCAUACCCAUUUUCCUUAGCUGCUUCUGAGGAACAGCGCACGUUUAAUUAUAACCUGUCCAAAGCUAGGAGAGUAGUAGAAAACGCGUUUGGCCACUUGAAGGCCAGAUUUCGAUUCAUUGGCAAAGGUUUGGAUAGCCACACCAAAAAUAAUAGCACCAUUUUGAAUGUGCACAACAGUUCAAUUAAUGACAAUUGGUCUACGAAUACAAAUGAGCUACAGGAACAACCAGAUACAAGUAACAGUUCUGCGGAUUUUAAUCAGUCUGCAGAGCGAGUAAGAUCAGCCAUUGCAACAAAUUGCUUAAGUCGAAACAAUUAAUCAAAUUUUUAAAACUACAUGUUUAUAUUUUUGUUUCUUAUGUAAAUUUUCAUUAUAAGUAGCAAUA